UGCGUCACUUGAGAAGAAGCCUACCUGCGGAAUCCCACCUCAAGCAGUCAUUUGCACACUUAGGUUGAAGCAAAUAAGCUCAUCCUUUUGAGCCAGUGGUCGGAAACAUUCCUCCAAUCUCUCACCAGGGAUCCCUUAUUCCUUUUAGGGCUCAAGCGCACCUGAGAUCAGUAAACUGAGGCCCAGAGAGAGGAAAUGACUCUCCCAAAGCCGUGCACGCAGAUGAAAAGCGCUUGAGGAAAGAAACGAGAGAGGGGACUCACACAUUUCGAGCGUCUGUCACAAGGCGUCACCUCGCUGACAUCCCGCGGCAGAGUCCUCUGGAACAGGUGCGACCGUCAUCACCGUUUUACCCACAGAUAAGAAGACUGAGACCAAAAGAGGAUGUGGUUGUAAACUGCAGCUUCUCCCUUAAAUGAAGUGACUUUCUAUUGAGAGAGCUGGUCAGGACCAGGGACGGAGGGCCACAAGUAGGUGGCCACUGCACUUACUUCCUCGAAGGGAUGGAUGUAAGGCCCUUGGCUUUUGCAAACACCUUCCCGCCUGUCCAGCAGGCCACCAGAUGCCUUUUAUUUAUUUUUCUUGCCUAAUUGCACUGGCCAGGAUUUCCAAUACUCUGUUAAAUAAAAGAGGAGAGUGGACAUCCUAGUCUUGUUCCUGAUCUUGGAGAAAAAACUUUCCACUUGCUAUUAAAUGUGGAUCUGUCAUACAUGGCCCUAAUUAU